AAUCAUCAACUCCUUUACUUUAUUGUGAAGUGAGCUUGGAUUUGGAGACUGCUGGUGCAAAUCAGCUUCUCUUGAAUGUAUUAGCUGGAAUUCAGUUUGCAGCAUAUAUGCGGUGUGAUAAUGUCGUCACUGCGUAGCUGGUAUUCUGUCUGGCUUCUAAUCGUCCUUUACUUGGACAACUUGAUCA
rnacentral:misc_RNA from 1 species